GGAGUUAGCCGGUGCUUCUUCUGUGAGUGAUGUCCUUCCUGCCGGCUAUUAACCCGCAGGCCUUCUUCCUCACUGAAAGUGCUUUACAACCCGAAGGCCUUCUUCACACACGCGGCAUGGCUGGAUCAGGGUUGCCACCAUUGUCCCAAUAUUCCCCACUGCUGCCUCCCGUAGGAGUCUGGGCCGUGUCUCAGUCCCAGUGUGGCUGAUCAUCCUCUCAGACCAGCUACGGAUCGUCGCCUUGGUGAGCCGUUACCUCACCAACCAGCUAAUCCGACAUAGGCUCAUCCGAUAGCGCGAGGCCCGAAGGUCCCCCGCUUUCCCCCGUAGGGCGUAUGCGGUAUUAGCCUGGGUUUCCCCAGGUUAUCCCCCACUACCGGGCAGAUUCCUAUGCAUUACUCACCCGUCCGCCGCUCGCCACCAGGGAGCAAGCUCCCCGUGCUGCCGCUCGACUUGCAUGUGUUAGGCCUGCCGCCAGCGUUCAAUCUGAGCCAUGAUCAAACUCUGA
rnacentral:rRNA from 1 species